rnacentral:rRNA from 1 species
GACGAACGCUGGCGGCGUGCUUAACACAUGCGAGUCGAACGGUGAACGUCUUCGGGGGGGAUCAGUGGCGAACGGGUGAGUAACACGUGGCAACCUGCCCCCGGCUCUGGGAUAACUCCAAGAAGUUGGGGCUAAUACCGGAUGCUCACCGCUUCCCGCAUGGGUGGUGGUGACAAGGGUUGCCGGCUGGGGAUGGGCCCGCGGCCUAUCAGCUUGUUGGUGGGGGAGUGGCCUACCAAGGCGACGACGGAUAGCCGGCCUGAGAGGGGGGCCGGCCACACGGGGACUGAGAGAGGGCCCAGUGUCCAAUGGGGGGCAGCGGUGGGGAGUAUUACGCAGUGGGCGGAAGCCUGAGGCGGAGGCGCCGCGUGGGGGAUGACGGCCUUGGGGUUGGAAACCUCUGUCAGCAGGGACGAAGCGCAAGUGACGGUACCUGCAGAAGAAGCACCGGCCAACUACGUG